AGCUCGGAAAUGACAAAAGCUCUUGUAGUGUAUUUGAAAGAUGGUCACAUUCUGGACCUUCUCACAGGAGUGAUUUUUUCCAAAGCAAAACCAUCUCUGCUUCCCAGGUGCCUUUUCUCUCUUUUCUGUUUCCUGUAUGUUGACGAGGAGAUACACAAUAACUAGUGCAGCUGUGUCCUAAGAGCAGUUUAUAACAGCAUGUAAUAAGUGGUAGUGAAUGCAAUGGAGAAUGGACAGCAAAGAAACAAAGAGUGAGGAUCUGAGGUAUAUCAACACUAAGCAGAGGAAAAAUAUGUUAUAUCUGAAUGAAAAUGAGUGUACAUAUGUAAAACCAUAGUUCCUUCUUAUCCACAAGUGCAUUCAUAC